AUUUCCACGAGAAUCGUGUAAUAGAGGUGCGGUGGAGGGAUCUUGAUGGGCUGGAUCAUUUUCAAAUUCUUGGGCAAUCUGGUGGUGGAAAUGGUUUUAUUGAUGAUAUUACAGCUGAGCCGUUUGAAGGAGUGAAUGUGGACGACCUAUUUGCUCUGCGGAGACCCUUGGGCUUUGAGCGUAGACGACAAACAGGUAGAUCUUCUUUUGAUAGAUCUGGUUCAGAAGUACAUGGUUUUCAGCACCCGCUCUUUUCCAGACCAUUGCAAACUGGCAAUACAGCCUCAGUUUCGGCAAGUGCUGGCAGUAUACCCAGGCAUUCAGAAGCUGGCAGCUACGAUGUAGCACAGUUUUACAUGUUUGAUACACCUGUUCUACCUUUUGAUCAAGUACCAGGUAAUCCUUUCAGUGAUCGCUUAGGAGGUGGUGGGGCACCUCCUCCUUUGACUGAUUAUUCUGUUGUGGGUAUGGAUUCAUUAAGAAGAGGGGUUGGUGAUAGUCGGUGGACUGACAUAGGUCAUCCUCAACCAAGUAGCCAAUCUGCUUCAAUUACCCAGUUGAUAGAAGAACAUUUUAUUUCCAAUCUGCGUGCUUCUGCCCCAGCAGAUACUGUCGUCGAAAGGGAAACUAAUAGCACAGAAGUCCAAGAGCAGCAACACCCGGAUGUUCAUCCAUCUUUCGGAAGCGAAACCGUUUUAGGGGAUGGUAACAACGGUGGUCAACAUAGUGAAGAGCGUGAACUGUUGAAUAACAAUGAUAAUAACCGACCUGAUGUAACGGCUGAAAGUUUCUCUCAAGGUCAGGCUGCUGUAGCUUCUCCUGUCCUUCGAGAUGCAAGUGAAUGUCCACAACCGCAUGAAGUCAUACAGCCUCUUCCUCUAAACAGUACACCAAAUGAGAUUGACGGAAUGGAAGUUGGUGAAGGUGAUGGAGUACCUAGUGAGCUAGCAGACCUCCAAGCUAUGCAUCUUGUCUCCACUGCGCAGGGUCAACCUGAUACUUCCAGUAUUCAAAAUGUGUCUGUUACUGCGACGCCUCUUCCAGCUGAUGAUCCUGACUCUAAUUUUCAACCAAGUGUCGAUGUAGAUAUGAGUAGUGAUGGUGCAGAGGGAAAUCACAGUGUGGCACCUUCACUAUUGGCCCGUGAUAACAAUGACUUCUCAUCCAUGGAAGCUACACAAGAUGCAAGGAAUGAUGAACAAGUUACUGAAGGUAGCUUGGACGGUGGGGCACCAGAAGCGAAUUCCAUUGAUCCUACAUUUUUGGAGGCGCUCCCUGAAGAUUUGCGGGCAGAAGUCCUUGCUUCUCAGCAAGCUCAGUCCGUUCAGCCUCCAACUUAUGAACCACCUCCAGUAGACGACAUAGAUCCUGAAUUUUUGGCAGCUCUUCCCCCAGAUAUCCAGACAGAAGUUCUUGCUCAACAAAGGGCACAGAGGAUGGCACAGCAGUCACAAGGACAGCCAGUUGACAUGGAUAACGCUUCAAUUAUUGCUACUCUACCUGCUGAUUUACGUGAAGAGGUUUGUAUCUCUACCUUUAUUUGAGCUAAGUUAAUUUAGAUUCGGAAAUGUUGAUAAUAUUCUGAAAUAUGCUACUUUCAGGUUCUCUUAACUUCUUCAGAAGCAGUUUUGGCAGCUUUGCCUUCACCUUUGAUUGCGGAAGCGCAGAUGCUCAGAGACCGAGCAAUGAGUCACUAUCAGGCUCGUAGUCUUUUUGGGAGUAGUCAUAGGCUGAAUAAUCGAAGGAAUGGUUUGGGUUUCAAUAGGAUGACGGGGAUGGACAGGGGUGUUGGAGUCAGUAUUGGUCAGAGGGGUGUUUCAUCUUCUGCAGAUGGCUUGAAAAUGAAAGAGAUCGAAGGAGACCCUCUUGUUGAUGCUGAUGCCUUGAAAUCACUAAUUAGGCUACUACGACUAGCACAGGUAAGAGGCAUUCCUCUUUUUUUCCUACCCUCUUCUAACAAGAAAUAAUCUAUGAUUUUGGGCCUCAUUUCGCAACGCCUAAUUGACUAUUCUUACGGAAGUAUCUUAAGUAAUUGUUUGUCGCGUCUUACAAUGAAGUUGUUUUAAUGUAUCAGCCGUUGGGAAAAGGCCUUCUGCAGAGGCUUCUAUUAAAUCUAUGUGCUCACAGUGCUACAAGGGCAAAUUUGGUUCAACUUAUGCUGGAUUUGAUUAGGCCAGAGAUGGAAACAUCACCGAGCGAGUUGGCAGUAACUAAUCCGCAAAGACUCUAUGGCUGUCAAUCAAAUGUGGUUUAUGGACGAUCCCAGCUGUUGAAUGGUAGUACUUCCUCUCGAAAUUCGUUGUUCGCUAUUCUCGCCAGCUUCCAUAGUACUUUAUGACUGACUUUCUUUGUUCCUAACACAGGGCUUCCUCCUCUAGUGUUCCGGCGGGUGCUUGAGGUUUUGACGUACUUGGCUACGAAUCAUUCGGCUGUUGCUGACAUGUUGUUUUACUUUGAUUCGUCACUUCUGUCCCAAUUUCCAUGCCCGAAACCCUCUGUUUGUGAAGGCAAGGGUAAGGAGAAAGUUACUCAAGUGACAGACUCCCGGAAUCUGGAGAUACCUGUGGUUGUCUUUUUUAAACUGCUUAAUCGGCCUCAGCUUUUGCAAAGUACAUCUCAUCUUGCGCUGGUAUGUUACUAUGUUUAGCUCGAUUUUCAUCAUAAAAGUAGGAAUCUUCUCGCUACAAUCUUCAGAUAGUUGUUUUGGUUGUUAUUUUAUCUGUAUAUCCACAAGAUCCGUGUUCUGUUUGUUUCAGGUCAUGGGUUUACUACAAGUAGUUGUCUACACAGCAGCAUCCCGAAUUGAGGGAUGGUCUCCGUCAUCAGGAGUACCUGAGAAGUCUGAAAAUAAGCCCGUUGGUGAAGAAGCUUCAAGUGAAACACGAAAAGAUGAAUCUAAGCUACUGGAUGAAGCUGAGCUAUCUGUUGCAAGAAGGAAGAAUUGUGCUGACAUAUACAACAUAUUCUUGCAGUUGCCACAGUCCGAUCUCUGCAAUCUUUGCAUUCUUCUUGGAUAUGAAGGGUAAGAGAUAGCCUCCUAUCGUUUUUGUUCAUUGCUUUCCUGAGAUUCCUCUUUCCUCUUACAUUUAGUAAUGUACAAAACAUAGGUCGUUUCUUAUCUUUGUUGUCAAUGAUAUCUCUGAAUUGCUUGGACUGAUUCGCAUGUUUUAAUAUUUUAAUAGGUUAUCGGAUAAAAUAUACUCGUUAGCAGGAGAGGUACUAAAAAAGCUGGCAGCUGUAGAUGUGGCUCAUCGCAAGUUUUUCGCGAAAGAACUCUCAGAAUUGGCAAGUGGUUUGAGUGCCUCAACUGUCCGUGAGCUGGCAAAACUGAGCAAUUCACAGAAGAUGAGCCACAGUGCAGGUUCCAUGGCAGGUGCUUCAAUUCUCCGUGUUCUACAGGUGCUUAGCUCACUAACUUCCCAUAUUGAUGAUAGCAAUGCGGGAACCGAAAGGGAAACAGAACACGAGGAACAAAACAUCAUGCAGAGACUAAACGUGGCAUUAGAGCCCCUGUGGCAAGAACUUAGCCAGUGUAUCAGCAUGACUGAGUUGCAGCUGGAUCAUACUGCAGCUACAACAACCGUGUCAAACGUAAACCCCGGAGAUCAUGUCCUAGGGGUCACUCCUCCGUCCUAUCUUUCUCCAGGAACUCAGAGGCUCCUACCUCUUAUUGAGGCUUUCUUUGUUCUCUGUGAGAAAAUUCAAACUCCGUCAAUAUUACAGCAGGAUCAUGCGAAUGUGACAGCAGGAGAAGUAAAGGAGUCUGCUCAUAGUUCAUCAUCUAAAACCAGUGUAGUUUCUCAGAAAAAAACUGAUGGCUCCGUUACAUUUGCAAAGUUUGCGGAGAAGCAUAGGCGACUUUUGAAUUCAUUUGUUAGGCAAAAUCCGAGUUUGCUGGAGAAGUCCCUUUCAAUGAUGCUCAAGGCACCAAGGUUGAUUGAUUUUGACAAUAAGAAAGCUUACUUCAGGUCAAGGAUAAGGCACCAGCAUGAUCAUCACAUUUCUGGGCCAUUGCGUAUUAGUGUCCGCCGAGCUUAUGUGUUGGAAGAUUCAUACAACCAGUUGCGUAUGCGCUCCCCACAGGAUCUGAAAGGACGUCUGAAUGUGCAGUUUCAAGGUGAGGAAGGUAUUGAUGCUGGUGGUCUUACAAGAGAAUGGUAUCAGUUGUUGUCAAGAGUUAUAUUUGACAAAGGAGCGUUGCUGUUCACUACCGUUGGAAAUGAUGCCACCUUCCAGCCGAAUCCGAAUUCUGUUUACCAAACUGAGCAUCUGUCAUACUUUAAGUUUGUUGGCCGGAUGGUAAUAGUCAGGACCUUGUGAUUGUAAUGAUCCUAUUGUUUAUUUUUGAGCCUAUCUGAUGUGUUUGUGAUGUCACUGCUGCAGGUGGCGAAGGCAUUGUUUGAUGGGCAGCUUUUGGAUGUUUAUUUCACUCGUUCCUUCUAUAAACAUAUCCUUGGUGUGAAGGUGACCUAUCAUGACAUUGAGGCGGUGGAUCCUGAUUACUAUAAGAAUUUGAAGUGGCUGUUGGAGGUUUGUGGACUUAGUCUUAAUUUACCUUUUACCUUAUAAAAGCUUAAAAAUCGAUGUUUACAGAGUCCUGCCUUUUAGAGACUUAUCUUUGAACCUUUUUUUUUUCUUUACAGAAUGAUGUGAGCGACAUACUCGACCUCACAUUUAGUAUGGACGCAGACGAGGAAAAACACAUUCUUUACGAAAAGACCGAGGUCUGUGAUAUUAUUAAAUGUUUGUUUUUCUCUUCAUUACCCCAAAGGGUAUACCAUAUUGAAUUUGAUCAUGUUAUACCUUUACCGAAAAGGUGACGGACUAUGAGCUUAAACCUGGAGGACGAAACAUACGAGUAACAGAAGAAACAAAACAUGAAUAUGUUGACCUUGUAGCCGGCCACAUACUUACCAAUGCUAUUCGGCCUCAAAUCAACGCCUUCCUCGAGGGCUUUAAUGAGUUGAUACCUCGUGAGCUCGUAUCCAUUUUCAACGACAAAGAGCUCGAGCUCCUAAUCAGUGGAUUGCCUGAGAUUGAUUGUAAGUUGGAUCCUGUUGUUCAAUAUUGUUGCAUGUAUUUGCUUAUGCAUCAGGUUAUUUUAACAGUCUCAUGUUAUUUCGUUGUUUAGUUGAUGAUCUUAAAGCCAAUACCGAGUAUACCAGCUACACGGCAGGAUCUCCUGUUAUUCAUUGGUUCUGGGAGGUCGUUAAAGCUUUUAGCAAAGAAGACAUGGCUAGAUUUCUUCAAUUUGUCACCGGAACAUCAAAGGUAAACCAAAUAGUAGCACCGCUUCCGUCCAAGUCACUUGAAAUGCAUUUCCUGAUAUAUCCGUAUUUGGCUUCUUUCUGCUGGUGGAUGAUCUCGAUCUCCUCCUGCCUCGCUCUUGUGUAACGAUAGAUAAUCGCAAAAGAGGGAAAUCAUCUUUUGUUUUACGAAGUGAUUGGGUCUGUUUUUUUUUACAGGUUCCUUUGGAAGGUUUCAAGGCUCUGCAAGGUAUAUCUGGCCCUCAAAGAUUACAAAUCCACAAAGCGUAUGGAGCUCCGGAGCGGCUGCCAUCAGCCCAUACAUGGUUCGAAAUCAAUACAAAGCCUUUCCUUAAUACAAAACGGUUCAAUCUCGCCUUGAUUCUCAUUGGUUACGUCUGUUUUGUUCUGUUGCAGUUUCAACCAACUAGACCUCCCUGAGUAUCCAUCCAAGGAACAGCUUCAGGAACGCCUGCUACUUGCCAUUCACGAAGCCAGUGAAGGUUUCGGGUUUGCUUGAGCUACGCUUCUCGAAACCGUCACACCUUCAGAACCAGUGAAAACCCCCUUCAAUCCUUCAUUCUUUCGGCUCCCCUGUACAUGUAAGUAAGCUUCCAUACUUGUUUGAUACCCAAAGAAAAAAAGAUUGACCAUAAAGUGCUGGUUUGUUUGCCACACAAAUCUCAAGUUUUCAUUGGUUCCGUGGCAGAGACCGAAGAUUUUCUGGCAGGAUAAGGAGAAGAGCUUUCGAGAAAGUCUGCAGAAUGAAUACAAAACUCAAGAGGCUAUUUUUAUAUGUCCAUAUAUGUUAGUAUUAGACCAUUAGGGUUUAUGUUUCUCUUUAGAUUUUGUAAAGCAAAAAUCUUUGAAAUAAUUGCUGGCCUUUCUUUUGAGUUUGAAUACACCGGCUCUCUCUUUCCAUUACAUAAACGCGAUACAAGUGCAGGCGGAUAAAGCUAAGACAACUGAUUUAACUGUCACGGUCACUGGCAUUUUCCCUUUGUCGUUCCUCAACAACAUGCCUUGAUACAGAGGCCAGUUUAGUACCACAAGUACUCCUGUUAUCACAAUCUGCAUGCCCAUUGUCUGAAAAUGUUCACCGUCUCUUGAAGUGAUCAGUCUCAUAGCCGCUGCAGCGAAGCAGAAGAGAUUGAGCAUCCCGAGUGUUCCGAGGAGGAGAAACAUCGGAGACUCCACUCCAAACUCCAUUACCUCUUUCUCGUAUCUCUCUGCUGCUUCUUCCUCUGCUACUUUCGCCGUGAUUACAAAUGCAGACUCCGAAGCCCCAAGUUUCUUCAGAAUCGUGUCCGUGAAUCCGAAUACAAACGAGCUUGUUCUUCUAUAAAGCCACAUCCUUUGCUCGUUCCACCAUCCACGGAACGUUCCUCCGCACCACAAGAACUCGGCUAGGCUAUAGGAAUUAACUGCGACAGUCACGUAUCCAAAUGGGAAAAACCACGAGCUUGAGACCUGGAUUCAAAGACCAGAUCAGUUUUACCUGAAUGAGAUUCCGGGUUUAUGACAAACACAUAAAGAAACAGAGGGAAAGCCCUUUCUUUACCUUUGGAAACAGAGGAAUGCCUUUGAGUAGACAGAGAGAGGUCAAAACAGAGUAAACAAGCACAGGUACUGAACUUGGUGCCCAAAGGCAAAAGCAACAGUAACCAAGUAUCAGUCCCAAACCAAUCUUUCCGUGGCCAUACCAAACCGGACUAUACUCUGAAAGCAGAACCUGAAAGUCUCCCUCUGACUCUGCUGCACAAGCAUUUGAUGCAAAUUUGUCGGCGCUACCCCGACAAAAAGCUUUCUUUUUUGGGUUCAGGUACGCUAAUUUCCAUCCAUGGCAUUGAAUCGCUAAACCGGUUAUUACAUCUUCUACCGGGCAUAACCAUAUUUUACACCCAUCUGCAAUGGAAACAACCAUGGUUUACUUGGUUUUCAAUGAAUGAGACACUGGUUUAAUUCCGGUCCAUAUAUAAAUUUUCCAUACGACGAAAAAAAAUAUAAUAAUACAUAUGUUUUUGAGCAUUUUGUCCAUCCAUAUAUUAAAUCAUCAUUUACAACAUACCAAUAUAUUCUUUUUCAAUGUGCCAAUACACAAAAUCCUCAAAAAUCAACAAAACAAAAAAUAUUGAUUUAAUAACGUGAUACAUAGCUUACCAUCAACGAUGUUCUAUACACCAAAAUAAACUUUAUAUACAUAAAAAUAGAAAUUCUAUACACAAAAUAUUCUUAAUUUGUUUCUUGAAGAACUAACAAUGCUUAUAAUUCAACUCAAUUCAAUAUCUAGAUCUAUAUUUUAAGAUUUAACAAUUUAAAAAUCACCAAACGCAUAACAAAGGUUCCAUAGUUAAAGAUGCAAUUUAGAGAUGUUUCGUUCUUUUCAAGCUUCAUUCUUGGGUGAAAGGGUUAACAUGUUUGUCGACGGGAGGAAUCAGGAGAAAACGAGUGAGGCCGUAAACGAGCUAGGCUAGGGAUUAUAAGAAGAGGAGGAAGAUGAAGUAGAUGAUAGAUUUUCACGGGAGGAAGAUUAAUGAAUUUAAUGAAUAAGAAGAAAAUAGUUCGAAAGUGAAGCCUCAUAUAUACAAAAGGAAUUGGCUUGAUCGGGACCUUGGGUUUAGGGGAGGAAGGAUCUGCUAGACAAAUUGAUUAUAUAGUGUGAGAAAACUUGACAAAAUGCAAUGGAACGGCCAGAUGCUAAGCAGCCGUGGCAAGAAAAGAGAACAACUGAUCGGAUAAAACUAACGACGCUUAUACCAAAUUCGUUUACGUCUUCGUUAUUUUCUCUUCCUUAACAAUUAAGAUCCGAGAAAACGGUGGAGGUGGUGACAAUCCAAUUUUAUUAUCAUAGGAUCCAAUUGAGUUUUGUUGGAACCUUGCACCGCCAUGGUAAUUUACACCGUAUCUGUGUAAGGGAAAAAUAAAUAGAACAAAAGAGAUAAAAGAGAAGAGUGGUUUACACUCAACGACACUUUUUCUACUUAUUUUUACAAAAUGGCACUUCUAACUAUUAUAGUAUUUUUUUUUUUUUUACACCAAAAUAAUCCAAAAUUGCUUUUCGUGUUGACGAUAAAGGUGAAGGCGAACUUGUGGAUACCGGAUUACGUCCAGAUUUUAAAAAUAAUAAUUAUUUUUUUUCAUCUCUUUUAUUUUGUAUUUUUCUGUAUUAUGAAAAAUAGAAAAUAAUUUUUUUUGUUAAAAUGAAUUAUAAUUUUAUUUUCUCAUAUUUUUUUUAAAAUAUACUAUAGUUUGUUUAUAUUUUUUUAAAAGCAUUUAUAAAAAAUUCAAAAAAAAAUUACAAGUAUAGUUAGAUAUUCAUUCACAAAAUACGAUGUGGAUGAUUCAUGAUGGGUAUAUAACAUGGACAUACUAGCGUGAAUUAGUUUUAAUUGAUAUAUUCGACGUGAAUAUAUAGUUUACAUUAUCUACAAUGUAGACAUGAUUGCGUGGAUAUGUUUUCAUUAAUAUAUUCAACAUGUAUAUACAUUUUACAUUGUCCAUAACCUAUCCACAUGGUCAUGUCCACGUUAUGGACAAUGUAAAGUGUAUAUCCAUACGAAUAUAUAAAUGAAAACAUAUCUAUACAACCAUGUCCAUAUUGUGGAUAAUGUAAAAUGUAUAUUUACGUCGAAUAUAUCAAUUAAUACUAAUCUACGCCAUCAUGUCCAUGUUAUAUAUAUGUCCAUCAUGCAUCAUUCACUUGUGAUUUCUUUUGAUUUUUUUUUUGUAAAUGUUUUUUGAAAAGUUUUUUGUUUGAUAAAUAAACUAUAGUAUAAUAGGUCUUAAAACAAUGGAAAAUAAAAUUAUAAUUUAUUCUAACAAAAAAUUGUUUUCUAUCUUUCACAAUAUAGGAAAAUACAAAAAAGAUGGGAAAAUAAUUUGGUAUUCAUGAGUUCAAUUCUACCGUUAUCGUGAACACGAGAGGCAAUUUCAGACUAUUUGGGUAUGAAAAUUAAAAAUAAGAAAAGUACCCUACUAGCUAGAAGUGUCUUAUAUUGUAAUAUGUAUUUGAAAAAGUGCCUUUUAUAUGUAAUUGUCUCAAAAGAGAAGGAGGGUAUAUAUGUGAUUAAAGUUAAAUUGAUAUUAAUACAUAAUUUAGAGAGAAAUUGGUUACAGAUUAUUUUUUGUUUAGUUUAUUAAUUAUAAUUUGUUUGAUGGAUAUUGGAUGCAAUUUCUCUUAAAACAAAAAAAAUUACACAAAAAUAACUAUUCAAAUAAAUAAAAGCCAAAAAAUUUAUUGAAAAUGGAAAACUACAUUUUUGUUUAGAAUAUGGAAAUUUUAUUAUAUAAAAUAGAAUGUUUCAAAAUUGCUGAUUUAUCUCGCCGUGAUACAUCAAGUUAAAGUUGGAAAAAUGAAAUUAAUUAAUAAAAAAUUAAAACUUUCAAAAAUUUAAUAAUUGAUUUUAUAUUCUUAAAAAACAAAGUUACUAAAAAAUAAAAAUAUAAUAUAAAGAAGAAAGCAAUAACAUAUAUAGUCUUAAGCUUAGAUUAAUACUAAAAGGAAAAGAUUUUUAAUUUACCACUUCUAUAUAAACAACAAUUUGAUAUGUCAGUUACACACUAAAAAAAUAAAAACCAAUAAGCAUAUUCAAAACUACCAACUGUAUUUUUUCUACUAAAUUUUCUUUCAUUUUAUAUAUUUAUCUUAUUAGAAUUUUUUUUUUUAAAUAUAAAUAAUAUUAUAUAUUUUUCUGGAUGAUCUAAUUUUUUUUUUCAACAACCCAACUAAUACAUCACAUUUGGUCCGUUAAGGGAUAGGUCUGAAAACCGUCCUCAGCUGGUUCAGUAUGAAUGAUUUGGGAAAAAAUACUGCUUCUUGCUCGCGUUCUUUUUGCAAGACUAUCCGCUCGGGCGUUUUAACUUCUGGAGAUAUAGGAGAGAGUGAAAUCCAAGAAGUUUUCCCGAAGUAUGCGGAAGGCUUCCAACUCUGAUAAGAAAGAUGGUCAAUCCAAUGGAGAUUCAGACAUGUUUACCAGAUCCGAGCAAUCGGUCUGAAAGUGUACGGAUAAAAUUUGUCUAUCUUUUACGUAAGACAUAGCCCAUAAAAGGCUCUACAAUUCGGCAUGAAGAACCGAUAGGCUUCUACGACAGCCCUGAAGGCCAAAAGUCUCACCACCCCUGCCAUCCUUCAGACUCCACCGAACCCGCUAACCAGGCUGUUGCCUAUCCAAGAUGCAUCAACCUGGCAGAUCGGGAUCCUCUGGGCCUCGGGUAGAGAGUUCAGGAGCAAGGGGGUGAUCAGCAAAGUCCCGUCUGAUCCGUCCUCUUCUUCUUCCGGUUUGAUUUGCAAACUUUUAACUUUUAGCUUCAACCUUAGUGUGGCUCAACGUAUCUACCAGGGAGAUUUUGUCAUUUCUCGCUUUCCAAAUAUACCACAAGAUCCAAAGAUAAAAAUCUUUUUGAGGAUCUGUCAUGCCUAUCUCUUUUGUUUUUCAAAAGAGAAAGCUCAUAUUUUGGUAAAUAAAGGUACUCGGGAAGAGAUCUGGAAGGGACGGAAAGUCCGAUAACGCCCAGACUUAUAAAGCCGGAAGAUAUAAAAACAAAAGAUGGUUAAUAGAUUCUUCAGGAUUCCCACAGCGGGGGCAACUCUUAUCCGUUCUCAUAUGUCUGUAGGUUAGGUUUUGGCAAGUAGCGAUACAUCUUGAUAAAGCUUGCCACAUGAAAUGCUUUAUUUUUCUAGGCGUCCGUACUUUCUAAACGUAGUUUUGAAGUGCUGUGAUAUUCAGUUCACUCACGACAUCCAAAUUCUGUUCAAGUUUUGUUUUCCUAAUCAGAUCAUAUCCAGAUUCAACCGUGUAUAUUCCUGAUUUAGUAUUGUUCCACGCAAAUCCAUCAAUGGUACGGUUCUUACUAGGUCUCAAUCCAGGGAUAAGAGAGACUUCCUUAGGUUGGAAAAAUUUUCUUAGAAGAGGCUCAUCCCAUUGCUUCGUAUCUUGACGGAUAAAAGAGUAAACUAACACUCUUGGAUCUUGAAGUCCAAUUAGAGGGGUUAUUUUUGGUGGGCGAGCUCUGAUGUCGGAGAUCCAACGCUCACUCCACGCUCUCGAUUUAAGAAAUAAUUUAUGAAAUUACUUGGUAUUUUAGUUUUUGUUUUCAUGAAUUAUAAAAUAAUAAAUUAAAAACCUGCAUAUUACGGAUACUUAAUCUAAUAUAUCAUAAAACAAUAGAUAUUAACAUAUAGUUUUUGUACGUCAAUCCUAAUGAUAAAAUAUAGUUACAGACCAUAUAGAAAAUCGAAACUCAAAUUAACAUUAGAAGAAGAAAAAAGGGUAUCAAAGAAAAAGGGAAAAAAAAAAAAAGCUAAACCGGCAUUGGAACGAUUUUCGCUUCUGUAUAUAACACAAAGCGCCUUAGCUUUUUAGAAUUCUUCUCCACUUCUCUCUCUCACCGUCUUUCUCUCUCUCUCUCUAUCAAAUCCCUCUAUACGCGAUCCUCUUCAAAACCCUAGUUUCGGAUCGCUCCAGGCUUGGAUUAUUUCCAAGAUCGUUAAUUCUUCUCCUCCUUCUUCUUCUUCUCGUUCGUCUGCGUCUGCGAUCGAUCGCCAUCCGUCCAAAUACUGGACCAGUUCACCGGUGGUAUUUUGAUUCGAUUUCACAAGUGAUUCUUCAGUUCUCGAUCGGUGUAUUGAUCAAUUCUCAAUCUUUGGUUUGCUUCGGGAGAUGCCCUGUCUCUAAUCAUGAAGCUCAGAAGGAGGAGGGCUUCGGAAGUGGUAAGUGUUCCAAAACCGUGUAAUUAAACCCUUGAUCAGUUUGGAUUACUAUCCGUGUCUGUGCAUUAUCGUGUAUUUGUGCUUUCUAGAUUACUCUUUUGUUUUCUGCUACUUGUUAUUGCUUUUUAACUGUCUUUGGCUUCCUUGGAACUAGCGCUUGCCCAAGAUGUAUUGUAUAUUUGCUCGGUUAUUUAUAUGAUCUUCAGUCCUUGAUUGAUUGAUUCCUUUGAUUGUUAUUAUGGGGUUUGAGUUCUUAAACCAAACCUUGGAAGCGGUGGCAAUGGUUUUUUGUUUUUGUUUUAAUGGAGUGUAUGUUAACCUUAGUUACUUUUCCAUAAAAUGUUUCUCUGUAUUUUCCUUCUCCUUUUUUCCUGAAUGUGUGCGAUUCUAUUCUAUCUGAUGUUGUAUUUAUAGGCUGUGUUAACCUUUCUUUGAUUCAUUUCCACCAGCCUCCCAAAAUCAAAGCUUUCAUCAAUAGUGUCACUGCUGUUCCACUCGAGCAAAUACAAGAACCCCUUGCAUGUUUUCGCUGGGAAUUCGACAAGGUACCUUAUAUCCAGUUUGUGAUGCUCUUCUUCUUUUUUUUUUUUAAUUCUGUCAACUCUCGUUUUGAUCUAUGGCUGUUUUUCCUUUAUAUAGGGUGAUUUCCAUCACUGGGUGGACCUCUUUAAUCAUUUUGACUCAUAUUUUGAGAAGCACGUAAAAGGAAGGAAAGAUCUGCAUAUUGAGGAAAACUUCGAGGAAGCUGGUCCUUCUUUCCCAAAGGAUGCUGUUCUUCAAGUUCUCCGAGUUAUCAGAGUUGUCUUAGAGAAUUGCACGAACAAACAUUUUUAUAGUUCUUAUGAGGUAAAUCCAUGCCACAAUGCCCCUAAAUGUCAUUUGAUAUUUGCAUGGUUUCUUUCUUACUGGUGUCACAGUAUACAAGUCGGUGAUAUUGUUUAUUAACUCAUAUUCUGUAUUGGAUUUCUGGUUGUUCCUCGAGAUAUGUCGUUUUGUAUGCUAAUUCUUGAUAUGUCUACCUGACUAUUUCUCACACUCUUGUUCCUUCAUAACUGCAGCAGCAUCUUUCUCUCCUGCUUGCAUCUACUGAUGCAGAUGUCGUUGAAGCCUGUCUGCAGACGUUGGCUGCCUUCUUGAAGAGGCAAGUUGGAAAAUACUCCAUACGAGAUGCUUCUCUGAAUUCAAAACUAUUUUCCCUUGCACAGGGGUGGGGUGGAAAAGAGGAAGGUCUUGGCUUGACAUCAUGUGCCACAGAAAACAGUUGUGACCAGGUUUCCCACCAGCUAGGCUGUACUCUUCAUUUUGAGUUCUAUGCUUCUAAUGAAUCAUCAAGUGAGCUUCCUGGCGGUUUACAAGUUAUCCAUGUUCCUGAUGUCAGCAUGCGUGCAGAGUCUGACCUGGAACUUUUGAACAAAUUAGUCACUAAACAUAAUGUUCCUCCCAGUUUAAGAUUCGCGUUGUUGACCAGAUUAAGAUUUGCGAGGGCGUUCUCAUCUUUGUCUACCCGGCAACAGUAUACAUGCAUUCGCUUAUAUGCUUUCAUUGUUUUGGUUCAAGCAAGUGGUGACACCGAGAAUGUUGUUUCUUUCUUCAAUGGAGAACCCGAGUUUGUAAAUGAGUUAGUUACGCUGGUAAGCUAUGAGGAUACUGUUCCAGGGAAAAUAAGGAUACUAUGCUUGCUUUCCUUGGUUGCACUAUCCCAAGAUCGAACUCGGCAGCCAAUUGUUUUAACUGCAGUCACCUCCGGCGGGCAUCGUGGUUUGUUGUCUGGCCAAAUGCAGAAAGCGAUUGAUUCUGUUAUCUGUAAUACUUCUAAGUGGUCCCUGGCUUUUGCGGAAGCCUUGUUAUCCCUUGUUACAGUCCUGGUUUCAUCAUCGUCUGGAUGUUCAGCCAUGCGAGAAGCUGGUCUUAUUCCGACCCUAGUGCCUCUCAUCAAAGAUACAGAUCCUCAGCACUUGCAUUUGGUCAGUACCGCUGUGCAUAUAUUAGAAGCCUUCAUGGAUUACAGCAAUCCAGCUGCUGCUUUGUUCAGAGAUUUGGGUGGCUUAGAUGAUACGAUCUUUCGGUUGAAACUGGAAGUCUCUCGUACUGAAGACGAUGUAAAAGAAAAAAAUUGCAGUUCAGAUAGUAAUGGGAGGGAUGCACUUGUUUUCGGUGGUUCUCUUAAUCAGCCUGAUACCGAACAGCUUCCCUAUUCUGAAGCAUUAAUUUCGUACCACAGGAGAUUGUUGUUAAAAGCCUUGUUACGUGCAAUAUCUCUUGGAACUUAUGCUCCUGGUAACACUAACCUCUAUGGUUCCGAGGAGAGCUUGCUGCCUGAAUGCUUAUGCAUUAUCUUCCGGAGAGCAAAAGAUUUCGGUGGUGGAGUAUUCUCUCUUGCUGCCACUGUCAUGAGUGACCUCAUUCAUAAAGAUCCCACUUGUUUCAAUGCUUUAGACUCGGCUGGUUUAACUUCUGCCUUUCUUGAUACUAUAUCUGAUGAGGUCAUCUGCUCUGCAGAAGCCAUAACAUGCAUUCCGCAGUGUCUGGAUGCUCUGUGCCUCAACAAUAGUGGUCUUCAAGCUGUAAAGGACCGAAAUGCAUUGAAGUGUUUUGUUAAAAUAUUCACUUCGUCGUCUUAUUUGCGGGCUCUUACUGGCGAUACACCUGGUACUUUGUCAAGUGGGCUUGAUGAACUCUUAAGACACCAAUCUUCGUUGCGCACUUAUGGAGUUGAUAUGUUCAUUGACAUCCUGAAUUCCUUGUUGAUUAUUGGAUCUGGGAUGCAGGCCACCACUUCUGACUCAGCAGAUGUGCCUACUGAUGCUGCUCCCGUUCCUAUGGAAAUUGACGCUGAUGAGAAGAGCUUAGUGGUUUCGGAUGAAGCGGAAUCAUCUUCUGAUACUUCUCCAGCAAACAUUGAGUUGUUUCUUCCAGAUUGUGUGGGUAAUGUUGCUCGUCUCUUCGAAACAGUUCUUCAGAAUGCAGAAGUAUGUUCCCUGUUUGUUGAGAAGAAAGGUAUCGAUGCUGUUUUGCAGCUAUUCUCUUUACCUCUUAUGCCUCUGUCAACCUCUCUUGGUCAAAGUUUUUCUGUCGCUUUUAAGAACUUCUCCCCUCAGCAGUCGGCUGGUCUAGCCCGGAUAGUGUGCUCCUACCUAAGAGAUCAUCUGAAGAGCACACAUGAGCUUUUGGCUUCCAUUAAAGGCACUCAGCUUCUUAAAUUAGAGUCUGCGGUCCAGAUGAAGAUUUUGAGAUCUCUUUCCUGUCUAGAAGGCAUGUUGUCCCUCUCCAACUUUUUGUUGAAAGGAACAGCUUCAGUUAUCUCGGAAUUGAGUGCUGCUGAUGCUGAUGUACUGAAAGAACUUGGUCUAACAUACAAGCAAGUGAUUUGGCAGAUGGCUUUGUGUAGUGAUACCAAGGAAGAUGAAAAAAAAAGUGCUGAUCGGCAGCAUGAUAAUUCAGUUUCAGCAUCAUCUAGUACCGUUGAAAGAGAGAGUGAUGAGGAUUCAAGCAAUGCUUCAGCAGUUAGAUACACAAACCCUUUAUCCAUUAGAAGCAGUAGCACUCAGUCCAUUUGGCGUGGUGAUCGUGAAUUUCUGUCUGUAGUGCGUUCUGGCGAAGGUAUUCAUGGUCGUACACGACAUGCAAUAGCCCGAAUGAGGGGUGGGAGGAGUCGUCGACACCUGGAGUCUUUUAAUUUUGAUUCCGAGAUUCCACCUGAUCUACCAGAAACGUCAUCUUCCCAUGAGUUGAAAAAGAAAAGCACUGAUGUUCUCAUUGUUGAAAUUUUAAACAAGCUGAAUUGUACACUACGUCUUUUUUUCACUGCCCUUGUGAAAGGAUUCACCUCUGCUAAUCGUCGCAGAAUUGAUGGAGCACCAUUGAGUUCAGCAUCUAAGACGCUUGGUACUGCCCUAGCUAAACUAUUUCUUGAAGCUCUUAACUUCGAGGGGUAUGGUGCUACUGAUGGCCAUGAUGUCUCUCUCUCAGUAAAAUGCCGGUACCUUGGAAAAGUUGUAGAUGACAUCACUUCCCUGACAUUUGAUACUAGAAGGAGGGUCUGUUUUACAGCUAUGGUGAAUAGUUUUUAUGUCCAUGGAACCUUUAAGGAACUUCUCACCACAUUUGAAGCUACAAGCCAGCUGCUUUGGACAUUGCCGUUUUCUAUCCCUGCAUCUGGUACUGAGAAUGAGAAGCCAGGUGAAAGGAACAUAUGGUCUCACAGUACGUGGCUGGUAGAUACUCUGCAAAACUAUUGCCGGGCGUUGGACUGUUUCGUUAACUCUACAUUUCUUUUAUCUCCAGCCCCCACAUCUCAAACGCAGCUUCUUGUCCAGCAAGCUUCAGUUGGUUUGUCGAUUGGACUUUAUCCUGUACCAAGGGAACCUGAGACUUUCGUGCGAAAUCUGCAGUCUCAGGUUCUGGAUGUCAUACUACCUAUAUGGAACCACCCUAUGUUUCCUGAUUGCAAUCCCAGUUUUGUGGCAUCAGUUACCUCCCUUGUUAGACAUAUAUACUCUGGUGUUGUGGAUGCUAGGCAAAAUCGAAGUGGUGUUACCCAGGGUACAAACCAAAGAGCCUUGCCUUUACAGCCUGACGAAGCCAUUGUUGGUAUGAUCGUUGAAAUGGGAUUUUCAAGGUCAAGGGCGGAAAACGCGUUACGAACAGUUGGAACAAACAGUGUUGAAAUGGCUAUGGAGUGGUUGGUUACAAAUCCUGAGGAACAUGUGCAGGAAGAUGACGAGCUUGCUCAAGCACUUGCACUCUCUCUUGGAAAUCCAUCUGAAACUCCAAAACCUGAUGAGACAGAAAAGGUUGUAGAUGUUCCGCCGGAAGAAGCUGAUCCAAAAGAACCAUCUGUUGAUGAAGUUAUUGCUGCAUCAGUGAAGUUAUUUCAAAGUGAUGAUUCUAUGGCUUUCCCUCUUAUGGAUUUGUUUGUGACACUCUGUAGCCGAAACAAAGGGGAAGAUCGGCCAAAAAUCGUGUCGUAUCUCAUUCAGCAACUGAAGCUAGUCCAACUUGAUUUCUCCAAGGAUACUGGUGCUUUGACUAUGAUACCACACAUUUUAGCGUUAGUUCUCUCAGAGGAUGAUAACACUCGAGAAAUUGCUGCACAGGAUGGUGUUGUGGUUGUAGCAAUUGAUAUCUUGACGGAUUUCAAGCUUAAGAGUGAAUCUGACAAUAAGAUUCUGGCUCCAAAAUGCAUUAGUGCUUUGCUUCUUAUAUUGAGCAUGAUGCUGCAGGCACGGACAAGAAUCUCGUCCGAGUUUGUGGAAGGAAAUCAAGGUGGAUCUUUGGAUUCACAAGACUCAGCAGCAGCUUUAAAGAAAGCGUUAUCCUCUGAUGUUGCUAAAGGGGAGUCAAACCUGGCUUUGGAAUCGAUUUUUGGUAAAUCUACAGGCUAUCUGACCAUGGAAGAAGGUCAAAAGGCUCUACUAAUCGCCUGUGGCCUCAUAAAACAGUGUGUUCCAGAAAUGAUCAUGCAGGCUGUUCUUCAGUUAUGUGCUCGUCUAACGAAAACUCAUGCUUUAGCUAUCCAGUUUCUGGAAAACGGAGGCUUAUCUUCACUAUUUAAUCUUCCGAAAAAAUGCUUUUUCCCUGGGUAUGAUACUGUUGCAUCUGUUAUUGUACGGCAUCUCAUUGAAGAUCCUCAGACUCUCCAAAUUGCUAUGGAAUCAGAAAUUCGACAGACCUUGAGUGGGAAGAGACAUAUAGGUAGGGUAUUACCUCGGGCAUUCCUGACAACAAUGGCACCUGUAAUUUCAAGAGAUCCGGUGGUUUUUAUGAAAGCUGUGGCUUCUACUUGUCAGCUUGAGUCAUCAGGAGGGAGGGAGUUUGUGAUACUGUCAAAGGAAAAAGAAAAGCCAAAAGUUUCAGACAGUGAACACGGAUUCUCUAUGAAUGAACCCCUUGGAAUAUCCGAGAAUAAGCUUCAUGAUGGGUCAGGAAAAUGUUCAAAAAGUCACAGAAGAGUCCCUGCUAACUUCAUCCAAGUUAUUGAUCAGCUUAUUGACACUGUCUUGAGUUUUUCUAGGGGGAAGAGGCAGGAAGAUGACGAGACCAAUCCAAUUUCGAUGGAGGUUGAUGAGCCAACAAUUAAAGUGAAGGGUAAAUCAAAAGUUGGUGAUCUGGAGAAAGCAGAACUUGGAUCUGAAAAAUCGGAAGAAUUGGCAAGGGUAACAUUUAUCUUGAAGUUGUUGAGUGAUAUUGUUCUCAUGUACUUGCAUGGUGCCAGUGUCAUACUGAGACGGGAUACAGAAAUAUCUCAUCUUCGGGGAUCAAACCUACCUGAUGAAUCACCUGGCAAUGGAGGGUUAAUUUACCAUGUCAUUCAUCGCUUACUUCCCAUAUCUCUUGAUAAGUUUGUUGGAACUGAAGAAUGGAAGGAGAAAUUGUCUGAAAAGGCUUCAUGGUUUCUGGUCGUUUUGUGCAGUCGUUCCAGUGAAGGGCGUAAAAGAAUUAUCAAUGAGCUUUCGAGGGUUUUAUCUGCGUUUGCUUCCUCGGGAAGCAGUUCUAGUCAAACUGUUCUAUUACCUGAUAAAAGAGUUCUUGCUUUUGCUAACCUUGUUUAUUCGAUCUUGACGAAGAAUUCAUCUUCCAGCAACUUACCUGGUAGUGGUUGUUCACCUGAUGUUGCAAAGAGCAUGAUAGAUGGGGGAACUAUCCAGUGUCUGACCGGCAUCCUUCAUGUGAUUGAUCUCGACCACCCUGAUGCUCCAAAGCUUGUCACUCUUAUCCUCAAGUCUCUCGAGACACUGACGAGGGCUGCAAAUGCUGCUGAGCAACUAAAAUCAGAAGGACCAAACGAGAAAAAGAGCACAGAUUCUAAUGAUAGACGUGACAGUCGAACUUCAACUGAUGCGGUUGUUGAUGAACUGAACCGAAAUAAUAGCAGUCUACAACGAGUAACAGACGUAGAGAAUGGACAGGAGCAGCCUCAAGUUUCCUCUCAAAGCGACAGAGAAAGGAGUCUGAGUCAAGCCCAGGCUAUGCCUCAGGAGAUGAGGAUAGAAGGCAAUGAGACAAUACUGCCUGAACCUAUUCAGAUGGAUUUCAUAGGAGAAGAGAUUGAAGGUGAUCAAAUCGAAAUGAGUUUCCAUGUUGAAAAUAGGGGCGACGAUGAAGGAGAUGAUGACAUGGAAGACGAAGGGGAGGACGAUGAAGGAGAUGAUGACAUGGGAGAUGACGGGGAGGACGAUGAAGGAGAUGAUGAGGAUGCCGAUUUAGCUGAGGAUGGAGCUGAUGUUAUGUCUCUUGCUGGAACCGAUGUGGAAGACCCUGAUGAUAAUGGCCUUGGAGAUGACUAUAAUGAUGACAUGAUUGACGAAGAAGAUGAGGAUGAUUUCCACGAGAAUCGUGUAAUAGAGGUGCGGUGGAGGGAAGCUCUUGAUGGGCUGGAUCAUUUUCAAAUUCUUGGGCAAUCUGGUGGUGGAAAUGGUUUUAUUGAUGAUAUUACAGCUGAGCCGUUCGAAGGAGUGAAUGUGGACGACCUAUUUGCUCUGCGGAGACCCUUGGGCUUUGAGCGUAGACGACAAACAGGCAGAUCUUCUUUUGAUAGAUCUGGUUCAGAAGUACAUGGUUUUCAGCACCCGCUCUUUUCCAGACCUUUGCAAACUGGCAAUACAGCCUCAGUU
rnacentral:lncRNA from 1 species